AACACGUGGGUAACCUACCCAUAAGACUGGGAUAACUCCGGGAAACCGGGGCUAAUACCGGAUAAUAUUUUGAACUGCAUAGUUCGAAAUUGAAAGGCGGCUUCGGCUGUCACUUAUGGAUGGACCCGCGUCGCAUUAGCUAGUUGGUGAGGUAACGGCUCACCAAGGCGACGAUGCGUAACCGACCUGAGAGGGUGAUCGGCCACACUGGGACUGAGACACGGCCCACACUCCUACGGGAGGCAGCAGUAGGGAAUCUUCCGCAAUGGACGAAAGUCUGACGGAGCAACGCCGCGUGAGUGAUGAAGGCUUUCGGGUCGUAAAACUCUGUUGUUAGGGAAGAACAAGUGCUAGUUGAAUAAGCUGGCACCUUGACGGUACCUAACCAGAAAGCCACGGCUAACUACGUGCCAGCAGCCGCGGUAAUACGUAGGUGGCAAGCGUUAUCCGGAAUUAUUGGGCGUAAAGCGCGCGCAGGUGGUUUCUUAAGUCUGAUGUGAAAGCCCACGGCUCAACCGUGGAGGGUCAUUGGAAACUGGGAGACUUGAGUGCAAAAGAGGAAAGUGGAAUUCCAUGUGUAGCGGUGAAAUGCGUAUAGAUAUGGAGGAACACCAGUGGCGAAGGCGACUUUCUGGUCUGUAACUGACACUGAGGCGCGAAAGCGUGGGGAGCAAACAGGAUUACAUACCCUGGUAGUCCACGCCGUAAACGAUGAGUGCUAAGUGUUAGAGGGUUUCCGCCCUUUAGUGCUGAAGUUAACGCAUUAAGCACUCCGCCUGGGGAGUACGGCC
rnacentral:rRNA from 1 species